UGUUUUCUCGAGCUGACCAGGAAUACAGCGCAAAAUCUAGAAGAUGAAUCUGGAGGAAAGGGGUUACUGGCGGACAAGCUGCAUUGGCUCUGCUUUAUCAGCCAGUUGCUGCACCCGGCUGAUCUCUGGACCCUCAGAUUGAGCAACACAACGGGAGGCAGGCAGCUCCCAAAUCAGUCAGAAACAAAGGAGGGAUAGAGGAGAGACGUGAAGCUAGGAAAGUCCAAGGAAGACAAACAGGAAGGACCCACAGCAGGCUGGGGGGUAGUAGUAGUAGUGGUAGUAGUAGUGUGACAGGGGAGAACAGUGGCUGUGAAAUAGAGUUAAACAUUGAUAGAGGCUCCGCAGGGUGAAAUGGUAGAGAGAACUUUUCAUUUUGGGUUUUUGGGGCGAUUAUGGGAGAUUUAAGAGGACAAGGAGGGGUCAGAGGCAGGGGUUUGGUGGUGAGUAAUUGUGGUGACAGCUAGUGCAAGGGGAGAAGGACUCAUGUGAGACACAGGACUUAAAAUAUAAGGACAAAGAGAAGAAAAAGGCGAGGGACCGGCAGACCUAAAGCUGGACAUCAGAAUGGGUGUGAAGAGCAAAGCGGCUGUUGCUAUCGUAGUCCUGCUGCUGUUCCUCGGCUCCCUGUGGCUGCAGGGAGGUUUGGAUUACCACUGGGAUGCUUGUCUAAAAGGUUAUAAUCAGGAAAAUAAGCUUCACCAGCUGUACAACAGCAGCGGGGUCGAUGGGGCUGAGGGUCCGCAGCUCCUAGAGGGGUGCCCUGGUCAGACCUUCCAGGUGUCGCUGCUGCUUUCCCACCUGCUGGCUGCUCCGGCCUACGAGUCCGACCUGCUGCUGCAGCCGUAUCUAUCCAGCUGGGACGAGCUUGUGAAGUUUAUGGAAGCUCUGGGCCCGAUGGUGGGACUGAUAUCGAAAGAGAUAGAGACCAAGACGUCUAUAAUCCGACAACUGGCCCUGCUGUCUGAAAAGAACUCCGAGGCAGAGCUAGGCCCAGAUGGAAACUUGGUAAACACAGGGGCUGGGACAGAGAAUGAUCCUGAGGCCUCACAGCACGCUGGUCCCUACCACUCUCUACGCUCCAUGAUCUGGAUAGAAAUGAACCAAGGACUGGUUGACUUCCAGCAUCAGACAGACUCCGGCUGCCGGACAAUUCUGCGUCUGCACCGCGCUCUGCUUUGGCUGAAGCUCUUCCUGCAGAAGCUGGCUGAGACGCCGGUGGCCGGCCGGCUCCGGAGCCCCUCAGAGCUGUGUCGCGAGUCCUACCAGAACACCCUGGCCCACCACCACACCUGGUUCGUCCGCAGGGCCGCCGAGCUGGCCUUCAUCGCCUUGCCUGAGCGGGGUUUCUUCUACAGGCUGGUGUGUGUGCAGGGCCAGGAGGAUCUGAGCAUAGUGCUGAACAAAGUAGUCGAGGCUAUUGGAGAAGUCUACAACAGGACGCAGAAAGCUCUGGAGGAAAAUGGCAUGCUGGACCUGCCAUAGAAAAGGAGUGGACAGACUGGACAUACAGCCUCUACUGUCUUAACAUGUUUUGCAUUUUCCUCAUGAUAUCCUAGAUGACGCACACACACACACACACACACAAAAAUUCUAGCUAAACUUCUCAACGAAACAUGAAUGGACUUAAAUUCACCUGUGCCAUCUCCUCCCAACCAAAGUGCUUUGUCAAUCAACUAACACUGAAAGCCAAUCCGUAGACAUUCCUCUUUAAAUGUAAUGAGAUCACGUCUCACCUUAGAGGCAUUUAUAAGGCAGCUGAUAAUGCAUUUAGGCUGGCUGAAAACAGACUGUGAAUUAUUUAAGUGGGUUGACACAACAACAUGGACGCCGGACAUCUGAAGCAAACCCACUGCUAACAGUAAACACGGCUCUAGUGGAGCUCAUGAUGUUCUGUGUGAUGGAUUGCAUCAGAUUGCACAGUUUGUGUUUUUGUGCCAAACCCCACCCACACGUUAUUGUCUUUUUUCUUUUUUUUUUCUUUUUUUUUUUUACAUUCAAGAUUCUGUUGAAAAUGACGAGAAUGCUUUUUUAAAUUGUAGUCGGUGCUCGCUGAUUCAGUACGCUACCUCAGAAACUGAUGCCUUGUAACCCUGAAAUCUGGGACCAAUCUACCCUGCCUAUAAAAGACCUACUGUUUCAUAGAAAAAUCAAUGUGUGCUGAGCAAAGGGCAACACAGUGCUCCACUGUAACUGUGGUGAGAGAGUGUCCCCGAGUAUUAAUUUGUCAGUUUCACACUGUGCGCCUUUGUAUCAUGUUCAGAAUGAUUAAAUAUCUGUAAAAGAAAGAAGAGGAGGGGAUCCAGCUGCAUGUUUCUCUGACGUUGUCGCGUCCAGUAAUGUGAGAGCUGUGACAUUUAAAUGCCACUGUUGUGUAAUCUUAUCCCGCCAUCCAGCAGAGGUUCCGAUGCCAGGGGUCCACUUUCCUAGCAUCAUAAUGUGUCUCUGUGUCACUCUUACCUGGACACAUUAUUUAGGAUGAGGACACAGAGAAUGUCUGCAUGUGACGGCGGGGAAUAGCAUGUUCAAGUAUCAGAUGCCGGCGCUGCUCUUGAUGAGACUAUUUUAAACCCACAAAUACCUCUAAUGCUACGUAAUCCUGGCUUUCUCUUCUUUUCCUGCGCUGUGCUGUCUCUAUCUGAGCAGGAGACAGUGGAGAACAGAGAGAUAAAGGACAGAGCCUGAAGCCACGGGGAGAACAGGAGACAGGAGAGCUGGCUGAAGGUCAGCUGGCGGAAGUACACUUCGGCUGUAAUCUUGUCAAGCAGUUGGCAGCGGAUCGUAUUAAAGCGUCUCCUGCAGGGAGAGAGAACUAAAACAACAUCCUGAUAUUUCUGAACUUGGGCCGAUCAAUAUUUAUGAUAGUGCUGGACCUCGACCUGUUCUGCUGUACAUGAUGGAGCCCAGGCUUUAAUCUGAGACCUCUGACCUGUGAUUCGUUUAAGAGGAUGACAUGUUGCUGCUGGUGUUUUACGCUCCUUCCUCUCGAUACUCUUGAGACUCUCACUGGUCCACCUCUCACAGAUGAUCAUGUCACAGAGCCCGAGUGGAUCUCAUCUCCUUGUGCUGCUUUUUCCUUUCACCUGCUCCCACGUUCCUGGUACGAGUGCACAGGUUAACGUCAACUGACGUCCACUGCAGGGUGUGAGGAUUACAGAGAAUGAGAUUACAUAUAUCCACCUAAUGCUGCUUUUCACAAUGGUUGCCCUCUGCCUUUCUGUCCACCACAGAGGUCGAACCACAUUUAAUUACAUUCUCAGUUAGCCAUAAUAACAGGAACUACACUGAAUAAUAAAGCCCAUCCAGUGAUGACACCAAUCAAACGAACUAAAAGAAGACUGCACUCAAAACAUUACAUUCCUUGACUUUGUGACUUUAAGUAGUGUAAUUGAAAGUUUAUCUACGUUCAGUGUAAAGGGUCAAAUUUAAUGCAAAGGUUUUCUAUCCUGUUGAGUCAGAAUGUAUGAAUGAAUAAAAAAUGUGUGAUUUAUAA